UUGCAGCCUAGUUAUGCUUGGGGGCUUUGUGUGCAAUGGCUGCAAACAGUAGCCUCCUUGGUAGUGUAGGCCACAGUCUGUUACUCAUAUGGGUGUUCUAAGGGACUGUGGAGUCAGGC
rnacentral:snoRNA from 1 species